rnacentral:rRNA from 1 species
AGCGAACGCUGGCGGCAGGCCUAACACAUGCAAGUCGAACGAAGCCUUCGGGCUUAGUGGCGGACGGGUGAGUAACACGUGGGAACGUACCUUUUGGUUCGGAACAACUCAGGGAAACUUGAGCUAAUACCAGAUGAGCCCUUAGGGGGAAAGAUUUAUCGCCGAAAGAGCGGCCCGCGUUAGAUUAGCUAGUUGGUGAGGUAAAGGCUCACCAAGGCUACGAUCUAUAGCUGGUCUGAGAGGAUGAUCAGCCACACCGGGACUGAGACACGGCCCAGACUCCUGCGGGAGGCAGCAGUGGGGAAUCUUGCGCAAUGGGCGAAAGCCUGACGCAGCCAUGCCGCGUGAAUGAUGAAGGUCUUAGGAUUGUAAAAUUCUUUUACCAGGGACGAUAAUGACGGUACCUGGAGAAAAAGCCCCGGCUAACUUCGUGCCAGCCGCCGCCGUAAGAC